ACCUUCUCAGGAGACAGCUGCCUCUGUCCCCACUACCUGAGGUCAUAACUUUGGGCCUGUGAGGGAGGUCAGGUCCCUCCCGGGCUGACAUGGGUGGCCCAGUGAGGUUGGGGAGGGGGCAGUGGGUCUCAGGGUCUGCAUACAGUAAGUGCUCAAUGGGUGUUGCCAGGAAACGGAAGAGAUCAACUUCGGGAGGGAACGGGAAGCAAGACAAAGAGAGAGAAGCCUCUGUUCCCCUGCCCGUCCCAUCCCUAAGCAGGGACGUCUGUCCACCUCUGUCCCUCCCAAGACGAUGGUCUGGGUGCUCCUCUAGGGCUGGCCCAUCCAUCCUGAAGCCCCAGUCUGACCCAGCACAAGAGCGACUGUUCAUCCCACAGGGGAAACUGAGGCACAGACUCGGUUUCCCUGGCUGCUUCUAACUUCACGAGGCAUCUGCACAAGGGAAGGAUUUGGCUCUGUUCUCAGGCCGGAAGCCACGAAAUGCUUGAACAUUGUGGGGAGCAAAGAAAAUACCGUCUGUUCUGUGCAAAAAAUGACUUUUCCUUAUUACCAACAAAAUAAUGGAAAAAAUAAAAAAGUAUCUGGGAAAGGUGCUGGCAUGGCCAAGGCUUCUGGAAGCUGCUUAGAGUUUGCCAAGUGCACAAGUGGGGCCCUGUGGCUAUUUUACAGGGGCGGCUGGGCGAGGGGCCCAGGCAGACUUUGCCCUUUGUGUGGGCAGAAAGCAACAGUGAAAGAGACAGUGAAGGGUUGAGUUGCUUUCCUGAACACCCUCUCCGGUCUCUGGGAGGGGCUGGGACAGGGCUGGCCUUGAGCAGCCCCAACCUGAAGCUGGACUAGCCAAGUCUACACUGAGGCACUGGCUUCCUCAGUGUGGGCCUCAGUUUUCUCACCUGGAAAAUGGGCCGAUGCUUGCAGGGCUUCUAGUAGAGGGAGAAACAUGAAGGAUUUAGUCAAUAUCAGCAGCUGUCCUCUGGGGUGCCUGCCAUUAGGUUCGUGGGCAAAGGCCCUGCCACUCUUUGCUGCAGCUGGGAAAACAGAGUCUGUGUCUCAGUUUCCCUGCUGGGAUGAAUAGUCACUCUUAUGCUGGGUCAGACUGAGGCUUCAGGAUGGAUGGGCCAGCCCUAGAGGAGCACCUAGACCUGGUCAUAUAAUAAACAGGUAACAUAA
rnacentral:lncRNA from 1 species